GUGAAGAUGGAGAGCUUUAGGCAAAAAAAGAAAGAAAAAAAACUAGCACGUGAUCUACGGAGAAUAACUUUGACAGCAACUCCAACUAUGCAAUGGAGUACACUUGAUGCGAUCAAUUCUGGUGUGUGUGUGUGUGUUUGUGGAAUGCAAUGACGUAUGAAUAACGACAGAAAAAUAUGCCUGAGGAGUAUGGGUUGCACAGAGGAGUAUAAGGAUUUCUUCAUCGGGCCAGUCCACGUGGAAGACGUCGCGUUAGCCCAUAUCACA